AGUGAACGCUGGCGGUAGGCCUAACACAUGCAAGUCGAACGGCAGCACAGUAAGAGCUUGCUCUUACGGGUGGCGAGUGGCGGACGGGUGAGGAAUACAUCGGAAUCUACUUUUUCGUGGGGGAUAACGUAGGGAAACUUACGCUAAUACCGCAUACGACCUACGGGUGAAAGCAGGGGAUCUUCGGACCUUGCGCGAUUGAAUGAGCCGAUGUCGGAUUAGCUAGUUGGCGGGGUAAAGGCCCACCAAGGCGACGAUCCGUAGCUGGUCUGAGAGGAUGAUCAGCCACACUGGAACUGAGACACGGUCCAGACUCCUACGGGAGGCAGCAGUGGGGAAUAUUGGACAAUGGGCGCAAGCCUGAUCCAGCCAUACCGCGUGGGUGAAGAAGGCCGUCGGGUUGUAAAGCCCUUUUGUUGGGAAAGAAAAGCAGCAGGUUAAUACCCCGCUGUUCUGACGGUACCCAAAGAAUAAGCACCGGCUAACUUCGUGC
rnacentral:rRNA from 1 species